AAAAAGCAUGCAGGCUGUGGGAAAGGUAAAUGUCACCUGUCUGUUCAUCAGUGCAUUUGUCAAGAAUGUUUCAAGCAGGCAAGUUGACUGGGAAAUGGCUCUUAGGAGCUUUUUGGGUUUGAGCGUGAGCCAGAACCACGAGAACCUUUGGGUUUGAGCGUGAGCCAGAACCAUGAGAAGUAUGUGAGCUACGAGAGCUAUGAUAGCUAUGUGAGCUAUAACUGGGUGUGAGGGAUGACACAGAUGUGGCCAGCGGAACUGUAGGAGAACCAUCUGCAAGAGAUGUCUACAGACUAGCGUGGUGGCGGAAUGUGAUUAGGAUAUCUGCAAGAGAUGUCAACAGCCAACCAUCCAAGAUGUGCUAGUGUCUGGUCGUCAUCAAGAUACUGAUAGUAUUCGCAAUGACAGUGAAUUUCAGAUGAGUUUAUACUGAUACAAUUUGAACUGGUUGAAAAUGAUUAUUUAACUAAGGCUCGAACAUUGACUAGAAGCUAGUUGGCUCAGACUGGUUUACCAUGGACACCAGAAUACAGUUUUUUGGGGGGUUUAAUUUAAGGUUGGGGUAGUGAUGUUUGGAGUGAAAUCGUCAUUGUGUAUAUUUAUAUUUUGUAUAUAAAUUUGUUGAAAUGU